rnacentral:lncRNA from 1 species
GAAAUCUGAAGAAAACUUGGCUCGCUAAAUUAUGGCAGAGUGAAAUCUCACAAUGAUGUCCUCCUGAUUGUUUUGCCUCUGCUUCUCAGAAAUUCAAGUCUCCAAAUUUACGAAAGAAAUAUCUUGGUUGAACUCCAUCCAUCUUUUGGCAGUAGGAAAAGGGAAGUUUUCUGAGAUUAUGUGGGAGAGAGGGAAAGAAUUUUAAGAGCCACUGAAAGAAAGAAGGGAAGAACAGGGAAUACUGAAGUAAACUGGGAGAUGAUAAAGGCAGAAAUUCAAGUGAAGAAGACUACGAGAAGAUUCAUCUUUAAUGGAUAAAUGCACUGUCUGGAAAGUACUG